rnacentral:lncRNA from 1 species
GCAACAAGUAACCGGAGGCCACUGACUCGCUUGGGGAAAUUGGUUCUGGGAACAGUGUUAUUUUUACCUCUGUCUUAUAUCCAUCUCCCGCCAUCCCCGCCCCCAGCACCCAGACACGCAUCACAAGUCGGGGAGCAGCUGUGCACGUCUGUGAGAGCAGCCCGGAGCUGGGUCCCUAGGGCUGCCGGGAAUCCAGCUGGAAACCCACGAGCCACCAAGGGGAGGCCGCGAGCAUGGCUGACCGUCAGGUCCUCUCUAGGCUGGCGAGGACCCGGGGCAGCAGGGACUCUGAGUGUGUUUCUGGGACCGGGGCUGAACCUGCAGAGUGGGGACCAGCAGCCAAUCCAGCUGUGGACUGUGGGGCCAGGGCAGUCACGGCAGGAGGCUUUGCCCAGCACUUGGGACGUUUCUGAGCAUCUUAGCGGGUGGCGAAGGCCCUGGUGGCUCCCAGGAGAAGUGGGAUGGGAGCCCCGGGCUCACAGAUGUCGCAGUAUUCACAAAUACACACACGCACUGUACCACGACAUUUUUGGCCUCAUACUGUGGCAGGAAGAGUGGCACAAAGAAGUGAUGUUGGCCCCAACAACUGGCAACACAGCCCCUCUCACCUCCACGACCCUCCCGCUCCCUGCACAGAUGACCAGUAAGCAGAUCCCAGACACUUAUCACUCUGUCUACAAAUGUUCAGCAUGCCUCACCGGAAGGUCACCGCUGCUUUGUAAAUAUAGCCAUGAAACCAUGACCAACCCUUAUAAAAUUAGCAGGAAAAUUCCUUUAUCUAAUCAAAUAUUGGCCCAGGUCCACAUUUUCCGGAUUGUCUUACAAUUUUUACAGUUUAUUUUUAAAAUCAGGAUCAAAACAGGUCCCUGCAUUGUGACUAUUCAUGCGUCACUAAAUCCUUGCACAUUUUUGCUAGAGAAACCCACUCGCUUGUCCUUUCCCGAGUCUGGACUCUGUAGGUGGCACCCGGGUGCUGGUCACCGUGUGUGUCCUGGAAGCUGGAAGCUAUGUCUCAAGGCCACUGACAGUCCAAGUAUUUGGGGCAUGACUGCUCAUAGGCGAGACACGUCCCCCCGGGAGGCUGCGGGCCUCUCUUCUGGCAAUGGUCCUGGCUACACCAACUAG